AGUGAACGCUGGCGGUAGGCCUAACACAUGCCAGUCGAACGGCAGCACAGUAAGAGCUUGCUCUUACGGGUGGCGAGUGGCGGACGGGUGAGGAAUACAUCGGAAUCUACUUUUUCGUGGGGGAUAACGUAGGGAAACUUACGCUAAUACCGCAUACGACCUACGGGUGAAAGCAGGGGAUCUUCGGACCUUGCGCGAUUGAAUGAGCCGAUGUCGGAUUAGCUAGUUGGCGGGGUAAAGGCCCACCAAGGCGACGAUCCGUAGCUGGUCUGAGAGGAUGAUCAGCCACACUGGAACUGAGACACGGUCCAGACUCCUACGGGAGGCAGCAGUGGGGAAUAUUGGACAAUGGGCGCAAGCCUGAUCCAGCCAUACCGCGUGGGUGAAGAAGGCCUUCGGGUUGGAAAGCCCUUUUGUUGGGAAAGAAAAGCAGCAGGUUAAUACCCCGCUGUUCUGACGGUACCCAAAGAAUAAGCACCGGCUAACUUCGUG
rnacentral:rRNA from 1 species